UGAAGACAGCAGCAGAAACCACCCACGGCAGCGAGGAGGGGAGUCGAGGUCUUAAACCGCAAAGGGAGCUUUGAUGAUAUAUGAAAACAUCUCAAGGCACACAGCAGACAUGCAUUGGGAGCCCCUGAGAGGUGGAUGUACGAGUGUGUGCAUUUGUGUGGACGCCAGGAGUUUACACUGAUUAUGGUUCUCAGUCAUUCUUCAUGUUAUUUCUGGACUGGUUGGCCAAUGAGAAAUUGAGGUCCAGAAAGACUAAGUGUUUUACCCAUGAUUCACAGCAACUUAAUUUCUGCACAAAGUAGAAUUUGGGAAAUUAUGGCCAAGAAAAUCAGAACCAUAGCUACCUGGUGUUGAAGGGUAGCAGUGACUCCCUAAGUCAGAACCCUGAUGAACCUGGAGUAGGCUUGGAUCAUGGCAGCAGGAAUUCCAGGAGAAGCCAAGAGACAGCAACUCUGUGUUAUAGUCCUGGGUACAGAAGAAGCCCCAGAUUGGAACCAAGGGUUGUUGUGACAAAGAUUGCAAGCUAAGAAUGGAGUCAGCCACAGAGCCAGACAAUGAGGCAAGAUCGCCGCAGCAUGCUGAAGGCAGAGAAAAACAAACCACAGAAGAUAAGCCAGUGCCUUCUUGUUUAAUUGACAUAUUUUUCACCUCCUGCAGCUUUUACUGCAGUUUUAGACCGUCUUC